GACGAACGCUGGCGGCGUGCUUAACACAUGCAAGUCGAACGGAAAUGCCCUGCUUUUGUGGGGUGCUCGAGUGGCGAACGGGUGAGUAACACGUGAGUAACCUGCCCUUGACUUUGGGAUAACUUCAGGAAACUGGGGCUAAUACCGGAUAGGAGCUCCUGCUGCAUGGUGGGGGUUGGAAAGUUUCGGCGGUUGGGGAUGGACUCGCGGCUUAUCAGCUUGUUGGUGGGGUAGUGGCUUACCAAGGCUUUGACGGGUAGCCGGCCUGAGAGGGUGACCGGCCACAGUGGGACUGAGAUACGGCCCAGACUCCUACGGGAGGCAGCAGUGGGGAAUAUUGCACAAUGGGCGGAAGCCUGAUGCAGCAACGCCGCGUGCGGGAUGACGGCCUUCGGGUUGUAAACCGCUUUCGCCUGUGACGAAGCGUGAGUGACGGUAAUGGGUAAAGAAGCACCGGCUAACUACGUG
rnacentral:rRNA from 1 species